AUUGAACGCUGGCGGCAUGCCUUACACAUGCAAGUCGAACGGCAGCACGGGAGCUUGCUCCUGGUGGCGAGUGGCGAACGGGUGAGUAAUACAUCGGAACGUACCCUGAAGUGGGGGAUAACGUAGCGAAAGUUACGCUAAUACCGCAUAUUCUGUGAGCAGGAAAGAGGGGGAUCGCAAGACCUCUUGCUUUAGGAGCGGCCGAUGUCGGAUUAGCUAGUCGGUGAGGUAAAGGCUCACCAAGGCGACGAUCCGUAGCGGGUCUGAGAGGAUGAUCCGCCACACUGGGACUGAGACACGGCCCAGACUCCUACGGGAGGCAGCAGUGGGGAAUUUUGGACAAUGGGCGCAAGCCUGAUCCAGCCAUGCCGCGUGAGUGAAGAAGGCC
rnacentral:rRNA from 1 species